GGAGAGAUAGCUAAGUGGUCUAAAGCAAUAGACUGUAAAUCUAUUUAUUUUAUUUAAGAUUAAUCGUAGGUUCGAAUCCUACUCUCUUCA
rnacentral:tRNA from 1 species